UUGUUUGAGGGGUACAAAUUGCCAGGUUUUCUUUUAGCAGUACAAAUUGCCAAGUACGUUUGUUGUUUUUUGAGCAUCCAAUUGCCAAGGUUUUUUUUGUUUUGUUUGAGAAGGGAUAAAAUUGCCAGGUAUGUUGUUGAAGCAGUUGCACCUAGGGCUCACCCAGCGCCCUCUUUCUAGGACUCGUCGGGCCCAAGUCAAGUCCAAACGAAACGAAAUCCGAACCGGCCCGGCCCGGCCUCCUCCUCUCGCCUCCCCCAGUCACAGUCACACCGGCCAAACCAGAGCCAGAGAGCGGCGGCGAGAGGAGAACGGCGGCGCGGCUAGGUGAGCUCCACCCAACCAAAGAGACGAUCCUCCGCGUUCUCCCGUUCGGGAACGACGCAGGCGGAGAGCUCUCUCCCACGAGCUCGUCCCGUCCGUUCCUGGCGCGGCGGCUGAGGCGAUCGAGGUCCCCGGACCGGACGGGCUGUGGGUUGAUCUCCGCCGGACAAGCGCUGCCUGCAGCACGAUGCACAGCCUCACAGCGCGCGACGGGACCUCAAAGUCUAGAGACAGGGAUAGAGAACGCUACGAUGGCAAGCACAGGAACUCAGGAAGUGUGUAAGGCGGCGCCAUGGGAGAGAUAGGGAGAGGUACCAGGACAGGGAGAGUGAACGGAACCGAUACCAUGGUCGCCAUCAUCGAGUGCAUCGUGAAAGAAGGCAGCACCAUGAUCGUUCGACGAUCAUGACUAUCGCCGCUGUAGCAGUGAUCGUGAUGCUUAAAGUGAUAAUGCAGAAGAAACCUCGAUAGAGAUGACCACAGAAGGAAUCGUUCACACUCCCGUUCGAAGAGUCCAAGGUGUAUGUGUUCGAUGCCUUCCAAAGUGUAUUAUUUGCAUUCUGGUUAAUGCUGUAAGCAAUAGGUUUGUUUGAUUACUUUGAAUCAAACAUGUGGUUUCCUGGAAUCAACUAGCAUGUGAUUUUGAUUCACUAAGUGUGAUUUUUGUAUGCCGUUAGUUAUUUGUUUUCUAUCGCCGGGAAGUUGACGGAACAUAAUGUGUUGGACAAAUUUGAACAAGUAAUUGUGAAUGCAGUUGGUACAGAUCUUGUCAAGUUGUCAA